AUUGAACGCUGGCGGCAGGCCUAACACAUGCAAGUCGAGCGGAUGAAGGGAGCUUGCUCCUGGAUUCAGCGGCGGACGGGUGAGUAAUGCCUAGGAAUCUGCCUGGUAGUGGGGGAUAACGUCCGGAAACGGGCGCUAAUACCGCAUACGUCCUGAGGGAGAAAGUGGGGGAUCUUCGGACCUCACGCUAUCAGAUGAGCCUAGGUCGGAUUAGCUAGUUGGUGGGGUAAAGGCCUACCAAGGCGACGAUCCGUAACUGGUCUGAGAGGAUGAUCAGUCACACUGGAACGGAGACACGGUCCAGACUCCUACGGGAGGCAGCAGUGGGGAAUAUUGGACAAUGGGUGAAAGCCUGAUCCAGCCAUGCCGCGUGUGUGAAGAAGGUCUUCGGAUUGUAAAGCACUUUAAGUUGGGAGGAAGGGCAGUAAGUUAAUACCUUGCUGUUUUGACGUUACCAACAGAAUAAGCACCGGCUAACUUCGUG
rnacentral:rRNA from 1 species